UAAUUUUUGAUGUGGGCAGGCAGCUGAUCGCUCCCGCCGCCCGAUCGAUCCGCCGAGAACUCACCAGCAACGAUGGCCGGGAAGCCACAACACUCAGCUUUCGCGCCAGCCUGCUCCAUCCGGCACUCUCUCCUCGCCGUCGCUGUCCUAGCCCUGAUCUGUUUCGCCCUCCUCUCCCUCAGAUCGCUACGCUCCCCUCCCCAAUUUUCCUCCCCUAAGAUGGCCGUGGCCGAAGUUUCCCGCGAUCUGGCGAGCCCGGGAUUGUCUUCUUCCUCGAUCUACCACUCCCCGGAGGUCUUCUUCAAAAGCUACGCCGAGAUGGAGGGAAAAUUUAAGGUGUUCAUUUACUCAGAUGGGGAUCCGAAUACGUACUUCCAGACGCCGAGGAAACUGACCGGCAAGUACGCCAGCGAGGGCUACUUCUUUCAGAACAUCAGGGAAAGCCGGUUCCGUACGGAGGAUCCGGAUCAGGCAGACUUGUUCUUCGUACCCAUAUCGUGCCAUAAGAUGAGGGGAAAGGGAACAUCCUAUGAAAAUAUGACCAUGAUAGUACAAAAUUAUGUUGAAAGCUUGAUUGGUAAAUAUCCAUAUUGGAAUAGAACCUUGGGUGCAGAUCACUUUUUUGUAACUUGUCAUGAUGUUGGUGUGAGGGCAUUCGAAGGACUUCAAAUGGUUAUAAAAAAUUCAAUUCGGGUUGUUUGUUCACCAAGCUAUGAUGUUGGAUACAUUCCGCACAAGGAUGUUGCUCUUCCUCAAGUACUGCAGCCAUUUGCUCUCCCAUCAGGAGGAAAUGAUAUUGAGAACAGGACCAUACUUGGAUUUUGGGCAGGUCAUAGAAACUCAAAGAUAAGAGUAAUAUUAGCUCGUGUUUGGGAGAAUGACACAGAACUUGCCAUCAGCAAUAAUCGCAUAAGCAGAGCUAUUGGAGAGUUAGUCUAUCAGAAGCGGUUCUACAGGACAAAGUUCUGCAUAUGUCCAGGUGGUUCUCAAGUGAACAGUGCUCGCAUAGCAGACUCCAUUCACUAUGGAUGUGUUCCAGUAAUUUUGUCCAAUUACUAUGACCUGCCGUUUAAUGACAUCCUUGACUGGCAGAAGUUCUCUGUUAUACUCAAGGAGAGUGAUAUCUAUCAACUAAAGUCUAUUCUGAAGUCUAUACCUCAUGAAAAGUUCAUUAAGUUGCAUAAGCACUUAGUUGAGGUUCAGAAGCACUUUGAAUGGCACUCACCUCCAGUACCUUAUGAUGCAUUCCACAUGGUAAUGUAUGAGCUUUGGCUCCGACACUAUGUCAUCAAGUACUGAGUGAGACCAACUUCAUGGACCAUAUAUUUGAUUUCACUUAUGACCAAACUGUGAAAUGAUCCAAAAGAUGCCCCGAACUCUGGUCUAUAUAGCUACGGAAGGUCUGCGAGAGCAUAUUCAGUUUUUGCUCAUCCAUCCCAUGCAAGUGGAUUAACCAAUAUUCAAUCAUAUGGAAGUCUGAACAGAGAAGGCGGCAAUUCUACAGGUUCAGAACUUGCUUCUUGAGCACCUUUUGUGUUCAGUUAAACAUUGAUAAUUUGGCUCGAGUGACAGAUGAGUGUGGCAGAAAGUAGGAAGAAAUCUGAACUCAGAGGAUGUCCUUUUUCUGCCUUAAGCAGGAGGCUUUAAAAUUGCUUCAGGGGGCAACACUGAUCUGCUACUACGAUGUAUGGUUGAUCACAUUGUUUCAAGCAGGUUGGCCACAGUCAACAAAGAAUUUAUGUGAGAGCUUUCUACCGCAACCUUUUCUGCUGAGAGCAUUUAAGCACAGAAUAUAGAACAUUCAGAUGGUGAUGUUGAAGCCUCUGAAGCAAAAUGCUGUGAUAGAUAUGAUAUAAAGUACGUACAGUUUGAACUAACUGGUCUGACUUGAGCCAUAUUUGUUGCAUAAUUAAUGAACAAUUUAACCUGUGCUUGUAUCAUAUCUAUCAGUUCACUGCUACAACAUUGUUUUAAUGCUGAGAUGCUG